AGGGCAGGCAGGAGCAGCUCUGGAGCCUCCUUCUACCUCUGUCCCCAGGACAGUUGGAGACAGUGGCAGCAGUGGAGCACAGUCAAGUGAAAGAGGGGAGUGCAUCCACACCACUGCACCCACCUGGAUCCAAUCCCUUGAGAGCACAGUGCAGUACCUCUUUGGUCUAUCUCCUGUAGUACAAGAAGCUGAUGAACAGAGGAUUGUCAUUUCAGCACUAAGGCUUUCAAAAGAAGUGAAAUGCAAGUACCGUAAAUACUAAUUAUUUUCAGGAAUGCUAGAAAAAUGGAACUAGAAAAAAGCAAUCAUCCACGCUCCUGUUCAAAAUAAUAACUUAAACACUUGAGAUUUCAGAGAGCAUUAUGUUUGUUGUUUUUCUAUUUAGUACUGUGCAUGCCAACAUAGUCUUGCAUUCACAAAUGAUUUGCUAGGUAUCAGCUCCAAUAAUCUUAAAUCAAGCACAACGGGUACAUUCAGUUAACCAUACUUAGAGAAUCUCCCUCUCAAGAUCAGUAGUAGUGGCUAUGACUUCAGUGACCAAAUGCAACUUAUUCUUGUCUCCUCCUGGAGUGUACAGCCAGGAUACCCAGGUGGAAAUGGGAAGCAGAGGCAACGGAGCUAGCUUGUAGGAACACUUCUGGAUAAUCUUUGCAUUAGAGAGCUGGUGGCUCUUAUUACUUUUAGAAGAGAAACUGCAGCAAGAGAGACCAGGCAGUGGCAAAAACCCUGCUGCCCAGUCAGUCAGGCAAGAGGCCCAUCAGGGUAAAGGGUUGCACCUGUUGUUAGUCAAGUGCUCUCUGCCUACAGCUUGCUCACUGCAAAGGAAUAGGCCAUUGGAGACCUAAGGCCAUGGCUACUUAAUUGGCUCUUAAGGCAAUGAGCACAAAUACCUGUGUUCACGGGAGGAGAUCUGACUUGGGAAACUUUAGAGAAACCUCUCUUUUUCUAAAAGACAGUAACACCAAGGUGUGGCAUGUGAGUGAAGGGGGAGCGCUGAAGAAAGACUGCCUAGGCAAGGGCUGAGCAGCCACUCAGACGUCAUGGCCACCCCCUGGGGCAAGGCCUUGCUACACUGUUAGAGCACCACAGUGACCAUUAACACAGCUGGGUCACUGCUAUGGCUCAUCUUAACUAUUAAGGACUCCUUGCUUUCUGUCUCUGUGCGUUUGUUUAUGUGUGUAUUUAUUUUUACUGGAGAUUACUUAUGCACGUGGUUCCCAAAUAUUUGGGACCAAUGGACCAUUGCCAACCCUCCAAAUUUCUUCUGGGCCACUUCUUACCUUUAGCAUCAAACUUUUGAUCAAAAAGGCAGAGGGGGCAGCUCUGGACCACUUACCAUGGCCUUGAGGACCAUUCAUGAUUUGCAGAGUACAACUGAAAAACUACACUUACAUCAAUGGCAGCUCAUUUCUAAUUACUGAGGAGGAGGUGGAGUCCUUCUGUAUAGUUUCUUUUUUCAUUUAACUACAAGAUCAUAGAACGCAGGAUCAGUGACAGUAAUAAUUUAAGUGGAAACAAGUCUCCAACAAAUAAUUUAUGUUCAUCUUGCUGUUCUACAUGGCAUGAAUAAAUGCCCUCAGUAUAGGACAAGAUAUGUGUAAUAUUGUUUUGCAUAUUAAAAAGACCUAUGGUUU